CCUACGGGCGGCAGCAGUGGGGAAUUUUGGACAAUGGGCGAAAGCCUGAUCCAGCCAUUCCGCGUGAGUGAAGAAGGCCUUCGGGUUGUAAAGCUCUUUCGGCAGGAACGAAACGGUCUUUUCUAAUACAAGAGGCUAAUGACGGUACCUGAAGAAGAAGCACCGGCUAACUACGUGCCAGCAGCCGCGGUAAUACGUAGGGUACGAGCUUUAAUCGAAAUUACUGGGGGUAAAGCUAUAGGACGCGGCUGAAAUCCCCGGGCUUAACCUGGGAACUGCGUUUGUGACUGUAGGGCUAGAGUGCGGCAGAGGGGGGUAGAAUUCCACGUGUAGCAGUGAAAUGCGUAGAGAUGUGGAGGAAUACCGAUGGCGAAGGCAGCCCCCUGGGUCGACACUGACGCUCAUGCACGAAAGCGUGGGGAGCAAACAGGAUUAGAUACCCGAGUAGUC
rnacentral:rRNA from 1 species